rnacentral:rRNA from 1 species
AUGAACGCUGGCGGCGUGCCUAAUACAUGCAAGUCGAACGAGUUCUCGUUGAUGAUCGGUGCUUGCACCGAGAUUCAACAUGGAACGAGUGGCGGACGGGUGAGUAACACGUGGGUAACCUGCCCUUAAGUGGGGGAUAACAUUUGGAAACAGAUGCUAAUACCGCAUAGAUCCAAGAACCGCAUGGUUCUUGGCUGAAAGAUGGCGUAAGCUAUCGCUUUUGGAUGGACCCGCGGCGUAUUAGCUAGUUGGUGAGGUAAUGGCUCACCAAGGCGAUGAUACGUAGCCGAACUGAGAGGUUGAUCGGCCACAUUGGGACUGAGACACGGCCCAAACUCCUACGGGAGGCAGCAGUAGGGAAUCUUCCACAAUGGACGCAAGUCUGAUGGAGCAACGCCGCGUGAGUGAAGAAGGCUUUCGGGUCGUAAAACUCUGUUGUUGGAGAAGAAUGGUCGGCAGAGUAACUGUUGUCGGCGUGACGGUAUCCAACCAGAAAGCCACGGCUAACUACGUGCCAGCAGCCGCGGUAAUACGUAGGUGGCAAGCGUUAUCCGGAUUUAUUGGGCGUAAAGCGAGCGCAGGCGGUUUUUUAAGUCUGAUGUGAAAGCCCCCGGCUUAACCGAGGAAGCGCAUCCGAAACUGGGAAACUUGAGUGCAGAAGAGGACAGUGGAACUCCAUGUGUAGCGGUGAAAUGCGUAGAUAUAUGGAAGAACACCAGUGGCGAAGGCGGCUGUCUGGUCUGUAACUGACGCUGAGGCUCGAAAGCAUGGGUAGCGAACAGGAUUAGAUACCCUGGUAGUCCAUGCCGUAAACGAUGAAUGCUAGGUGUUGGAGGGUUUCCGCCCUUCAGUGCCGCAGCUAACGCAUUAAGCAUUCCGCCUGGGGAGUACGACCGCAAGGUUGAAACUCAAAGGAAUUGACGGGGGCCCGCACAAGCGGUGGAGCAUGUGGUUUAAUUCGAGGCAACGCGAAGAACCUUACCAGGUCUUGACAUCUUUUGAUCACCUGAGAGAUCAGGUUUCCCCUUCGGGGGCAAAAUGACAGGUGGUGCAUGGUUGUCGUCAGCUCGUGUCGUGAGAUGUUGGGUUAAGUCCCGCAACGAGCGCAACCCUUAUGACUAGUUGCCAGCAUUUAGUUGGGCACUCUAGUAAGACUGCCGGUGACAAACCGGAGGAAGGUGGGGAUGACGUCAAAUCAUCAUGCCCCUUAUGACCUGGGCUACACACGUGCUACAAUGGAUGGUACAACGAGUUGCGAGACCGCGAGGUCAAGCUAAUCUCUUAAAGCCAUUCUCAGUUCGGACUGUAGGCUGCAACUCGCCUACACGAAGUCGGAAUCGCUAGUAAUCGCGGAUCAGCACGCCGCGGUGAAUACGUUCCCGGGCCUUGUACACACCGCCCGUCACACCAUGAGAGUUUGUAACACCCGAAGCCGGUGGCGUAACCCUUUUAGGGAGCGAGCCGUCUAAGGUGGGACAAAUGAUUAGGGUGAA